rnacentral:rRNA from 1 species
AUGCAAGUCGAGCGGACUUGAUGAGAAGCUUGCUUCCUUGAUGGUUAGCGGCGGACGGGUGAGUAACACGUAGGCAACCUGCCCUCAAGCUUGGGACAACUACCGGAAACGGUAGCUAAUACCGAAUACUUGUUUUCUUCGCCUGAAGAGAACUGGAAAGACGGAGCAAUCUGUCACUUGAGGAUGGGCCUGCGGCGCAUUAGCUAGUUGGUGAGGUAACGGCUCACCAAGGCGACGAUGCGUAGCCGACCUGAGAGGGUGAUCGGCCACACUGGGACUGAGACACGGCCCAGACUCCUACGGGAGGCAGCAGUAGGGAAUCUUCCGCAAUGGGCGAAAGCCUGACGGAGCAAUGCCGCGUGAGUGAUGAAGGUUUUCGGAUCGUAAAGCUCUGUUGCCAGGGAAGAACGUCCGUGAGAGUAACUGCUCUGGGAGUGACGGUACCUGAGAAGAAAGCCCCGGCUAACUACGUGCCAGCAGCCGCGGUAAUACGUAGGGGGCAAGCGUUGUCCGGAAUUAUUGGGCGUAAAGCGCGCGCAGGCGGUCAUUUAAGUCUGGUGUUUAAUCCCGGGGCUCAACCCCGGAUCGCACUGGAAACUGGAUGACUUGAGUGCAGAAGAGGAGAGUGGAAUUCCACGUGUAGCGGUGAAAUGCGUAGAGA